rnacentral:rRNA from 1 species
AUUGAACGCUGGCGGCAGGCCUAACACAUGCAAGUCGAGCGGAGCGGCGGACGGGUGAGUAAUGCCUAGGAAUCUGCCUGGUAGUGGGGGAUAACGACAGGAAACGGGCGCUAAUACCGCAUACUAUCAGAUGAGCCUAAGUCGGAUUAGCUAGUUGGUGGGGUAAAGGCCUACCAAGGCGACGAUCCGUAACGGGUCUGAGAGGAUGAUCAGUCACACUGUAACUGAUACACCGGCCAGACUCCUACGGGAGGCAGCAGUGGGAAAUAUUGGACGAUGUGGGAAAGCCUGAUCCAGCCAUGCCGCGUGUGUGAAGAAGGUCUGCGGAUUGUAAAGCACUUUCAGUUGGGAGGCGUUACCAACAGAAUAAGCACCGGCUAACUUCGUGCCAGCAGAGGCGGUAAUUC